rnacentral:rRNA from 1 species
GGAUUCCCUCAGUAGCGGCGAGCGAACAGGGAAGAGCCCAGCACUGAAUCCCGCGGCCGAAACCGGACGCCGGGAAAUGUGGUGUUAGGGAGGGUCCGUCAUCCCGAGACCGUGCGACGCGUCCAAGUCCAUCUUGAACGGGGCCACAGCCAUAGAGGGUGCCAGGCCCGUAGCGACCGUCGCCGGUAGCGGGAGGAUCUCUCCUCAGAGUCGGGUUGCUUGAGAGUGCAGCCCUAAGUGGGUGGUAAACUCCAUCUAAGGCUAAA